rnacentral:rRNA from 1 species
CAGUAGCCACGGUAAUACGUAAGGUGCAAGCGUUGUUCGGAAUUAUUGGGCGUAAAGGGCAUGCAGGCGGUCGUGCAAGCCCGGCGUGAAAGACGGGGGCUCAACUCCCGAAGUGCGCUGGGAACUGCAGGGCUUGAGUUUCUGAAGGGCAGCCGGAAUUCCACGUGUAGGGGUGAAAUCUGUAGAUAUGUGGAAGAACACCAGUGGCGAAGGCGACUCUCUGGUCUGUAACUGACGCUGAGGAGCGAAAGCGUGGGGAGCGAACAGGAUUAGAUACCCGCGUAGUCCCUGUCUCUUAUAC